rnacentral:lncRNA from 1 species
AGUCAAUGACUCAGGGUAGCCUCCGAACAUGAUGCUCGCAGUGGGUGCCACCUGGACUCCACUCUCCCCUCUCUCUGGGAUCAUAGAGUCCAAGGUGUUCUGUGGCCUCUCGGCCAAUCCCAGCAGCUCAGCGUGCAGAAGACUGAGGAGCCAUUGGAAUUCAACACAACACGAAAUAAUCGACAAAUUCGGGGAAUGUUAAUCUGACCAUCCCCAGUUACAAAUGAUGUUUCAUGCUACCUUCUAUUCCUGCCUUCAUAAAUCAAGGAAAAGAAAAAGAGAACAUAUAUCCCCCUACCUUUUGAUUUCCAACAGUCUACUGAGAGGCCAAAAUUAUUUGCAGGGAAAGAAAAGGGGAAUGCCAUCCCCACCCUCUCGCAGCUACAUGCCAGUUCCAGAGCACCUGUUCCCCUCUACUUUGAAAAGGUCAAAUUGUUUUGCCAGUAACUCCCAAAUCAUCUACAGCCAAGGAGAGAAGUGUUUCAAGACGGAGGUGCUCAAUGGUAUCAAAUACUGCCAACAGACCAAGUAAUACAUGCACUGAAGUGUCUACUGGAUCUAGCUAUAUGAAAUUUUAAUUUAGGACACUUAGGCCAUACUGAAGCAAGGUGACAAAAUGAAUAGCUACAAUGUCUCAUGAAUCUUGGGUUUCCAUUCACCCUGGUAUUCAAGAGAAAUUCUUGCAUCAUGGAAGUUGCAGUUGGAUAGGACUUUCUCAGCUGAACACUGUCAUCUGCCAGAGCUUCAGGCAAGAACCCAGAACAGAUGAAACCCCAGACAUGACAAAAUAAGCCAAGGAAUACCAGGCCAAGAUGUGAAAGGCCAGAUGAGAACAAGCAGCGUACACGAUUCUGUUGCCAACAGAUCUCCCCUAACAGUGUCGUGCACCAAAUUUCCACAGUGAAUGUCAGGAAAAAAUGGCAAUUGAGGUGGGUGGUCAAAAGAGAUGCACAGUCUAUGAUGAAGUCACCCCAGAGAAGUCCUUUUUCCUUUUUCUCCUGAGAAAACCAGAAGAAAUUAAAAUCCUUUUGAGUAUUGCAUUUAUCUCUGCAGUAACAUUAUUUGUUCUUAAGGAAUCUCUAUCAAAUUUGCAUCUUGUCUAAUUUAGCAGGGAAUGUCACCAGGAUAAGACAACUGCAAAACCCAUUUGGGUGUACCAAAUGACUUCAACUGAACCUCCAUGCAAACAACGUACAAGAUGCUUUCUUACUAAAUGCUCAAACAUCAAGUUCUACAUCCAGAACUGCCCCUCAACCCUCACCCUCUCGAACUCAGUAAAAAACAACCCUCUUUCUAGCUCUGCAUUUCCAAUGAAUGCCUCUUCCUCCAGACAUCCCUAGUUUUUGUUCAUGAUACUAGGACAUUCCUAAACCGGGAAUGUUAGAAUCAUGUGGACUGCUCGCUCCCUCCUUCAUUGCCUGAGUUUAAGCAAAUAAUAUUGAUUAGUUUUCCCCAA